rnacentral:rRNA from 1 species
AUUGAACGCUGGCGGCAGGCUUAACACAUGCAAGUCGAGCGGGGUGAUGGUGCUUGCACUAUCACUUAGCGGCGGACGGGUGAGUAAUGCUUAGGAAUCUGCCUAUUAGUGGGGGACAACAUCUCGAAAGGGAUGCUAAUACCGCAUACGUCCUACGGGAGAAAGCAGGGGAUCACUUGUGACCUUGCGCUAAUAGAUGAGCCUAAGUCGGAUUAGCUAGUUGGUGGGGUAAAGGCCUACCAAGGCGACGAGCUGUAGCGGGUCUGAGAGGAUGAACCGCCACACUGGGGCUGAGGCACGGCCCAGAAUCCUACGGGAGGCAGCAGUGGGGAAUAUUGGACAAUGGGGGGAACCCUGAUCCAGCCAUGCCGCGUGUGUGAAGAAGGCCUUAUGGUUGUAAAGCACUUUAAGCGAGGAGGAGGCUUACCAAGGUAAUACCUGGGAUAAGUGGACGUUGCUCGCAGAAUAAGCACCGGCUAACUCUGUGCCAGCAGCCGCCGUAA